AUUGAACGCUGGCGGCAUGCUUUACACAUGCAAGUCGAACGGUAACAGGCCGCAAGGUGCUGACGAGUGGCGAACGGGUGAGUAAUGCAUCGGAACGUGCCCAGUCGUGGGGGGUAACUACUCGAAAGAGUAGCUAAUACCGCAUACGAUCUAUGGAUGAAAGCGGGGGACCGUAAGGCCUCGCGCGAUUGGAGCGGCCGAUGUCAGAUUAGGUAGUUGGUGGGGGAAAGGCUCACCAAGCCAACGAUCCGUAGCUGGUCUGAGAGGACGACCCGCCACACUGGGACUGAGACACGGCCCAGACUCCUACGGGAGGCAGCAGUGGGGAAUUUUGGACAAUGGGCGCAAGCCUGAUCCAGCAAUGCCGCGUGCAGGAAGAAGGCCUUCGGGUUGUAAACUGCUUUUGUACGGAACGAAACGGCUCUGGUUAAUACCCGGGGCUAAUGACGGUACCGGAAGAAUAAGCACCGGCUAACUACGUG
rnacentral:rRNA from 1 species